GAUGAACGCUGGCGGCGUGCCUAAUACAUGCAAGUCGAGCGAACAGACGAGGAGCUUGCUCCUCUGACGUUAGCGGCGGACGGGUGAGUAACACGUGGAUAACCUACCUAUAAGACUGGGAUAACUUCGGGAAACCGGAGCUAAUACCGGAUAAUAUAUUGAACCGCAUGGUUCAAUAGUGAAAGACGGUUUUGCUGUCACUUAUAGAUGGAUCCGCGCCGCAUUAGCUAGUUGGUAAGGUAACGGCUUACCAAGGCAACGAUGCGUAGCCGACCUGAGAGGUGGACCGGCACAACGGAACAGGGGCAACGUCCAGACCCCUUAGGGAAGGAGGAGGUGGGAAACUUUCCGAAAGGGGCGAAAGCUUACGGAAGAAACGCGGGGGGGGUAAGAAGGUUUUCGGGUUGGAAAACUCUUUUAUUAGGGAAGAAUAAAUGUGUAAGUAACUAUGCACGUCUUGACGGUACCUAAUCAGAAAGCCACGGCUAACUACGUG
rnacentral:rRNA from 1 species